GACGAACGCUGGCGGCGCGCUUAACACAUGCAAGUCGAGCGAGAACCAGCCCUUCGGGGCUGGGGAGAGCGGCGAACGGGUGAGUAACACGUGGGUAAUCAACCCUCGGUACUGGGAUAGCCCGGGGAAACCCGGAUUAAUACCGGAUGGCCCUUCGAAUCCUCGGAUUUGAAGGAAAAGGUAGCUUCGGCCUCCGACCGAGGACGAGCCCGCGGCGGAUUAGCUUGUUAGUGGGGUAACGGCCUACCAAGGCGACGAUCCGUAGCUGGUCUGAGAGGACGAUCAGCCACACUGGGACUGAGACACGGCCCAGACUUCUACGGAAGGCAGCAGGGGGGAAUCUUGCGCUAAUGCGGGAAACCGUGACGCAGCGACGCCGCGUGGGGGAAGAAGGCCCUCGGGUUGUAAACCUCUCUCAGGAGGGACGAAGCUACUCGGGUUAAUAGCCCAGAGGGUGACGGUACCUCCAGAAGAAGCCCCGGCUAACUACGUGCCAGCCGCCGCCGUAA
rnacentral:rRNA from 1 species